UACUUCUUAGGCAGGGUUGAACGAUCACCGACUUGAAAAUUCUUCUUCUUUCGAUAAGACGAGAGAGGCAACAUAGGUAGAGAGACGAUGAUGCUAGGGGCUUGUUGCUUGUUCCGCGAGCAAAAAUAUUGCUCUGGCAGAAGUGAAAUAUGCCUCCGUAAGGUAUUAUUCCACACGGGUAAGGGAUGGCAUGGCAGCUAUCUGAUUCCGUUAUCACGACUUCCCGUAUAACAGCGGUCUUUCGUGGACUACCACGCGAAAUAACAGUGCCGAAGAAAUAACGUAUUCGUACGUCCUGCCACCUACAUUUUCGACGUCUAACCGUGCAUCACCAAUCCUCUCUUCUUUCUCUCUUUUUCUUCCUCUUCGAUCAUCCCUUCGCCUUGUUUUAUUCUCCCUACCCUUUUUCUACUCUUUUUAGUAUCUUCUAGGUAUAUCUUGAAAAAUUCGCAAGAUCGAAGGCACGUUUCCUUGGCUAACAUAACCGAGCUGCAAAGUGCAUCCUCCAACAUUUCCAUCUCCGACGAUUAUGUAAACGAUAUGUGUAUGUGUACAUACAUACAAUGAAGAAUAUUGGAUUAGGAGAGACGUCAUUUGUCUUCUUAUUCUUCUUCACGUUACAAACUUUUUUCGAUCCAUUGUACGAUGAUAUCCUUUACUCUCGACGAUUGAAUUCAUUGCCGCUUCAUCAAUUUCCCAGGGAGGACGAAAAAUAAGCGGAAUUACGUGCGAGAAGGAAAAUACAAAGACGAAAAUAGAGGGAAAGAGAAAGAGGGAGAAAGAAAGGGAGGAAUAGACUGUCCUCCGACAUGGCCAUAUACAUUCUCGUCCCUGCUAUUAAUGCCUGGUAAAUUAUAAAUAAUGUUACUGGAACGACCACAAAUCAACGUUCGGAGUAAUACCGGGAUCCUGGCCCUUCGUUCGAUAAGGGAUUAAGCGCUUUUCGAGAGACGCCUACCCCAUUGAGCAGAGGAGUUGAAAGGAUGAAAAGAGAUGGAAGAGGUAGUCAGGGAGUCGCAUCCCAGCUGCGCGAUCGGGAAACCGUAUUCAUCGGAGGUGGAUCUUCGAAUGAAGUUACCUUCAAGACGAGAAAGUAAAAAAAAAAGAAAGAAAAAGAGCCUUAACAAGGUACAGCUGAAUGAUACUCGCAAUUACUACUAGGAGACCUUCGGAAGGGCUUACCAAGGCGAAUGAAUUUCGAGCCUGACCUCAAACGAGAAAAGAGGGAGAAGAAAUGGGAUGAGCGAGUACUCUCCGGUGAUGCCAUGCCACGAUAACGGAUGUCUCCGACCACGGCUCUUGUCUCAUUGUCUUCGCCCAUUCCCUGAGAGAACGUAAGAGAAAUAGAGAGAAAAAGAAAGAAAGAAAGAGAGAGAGAGAGAGAGAGAGAGAGAGAGAAAGAGAGAGUGAGAGAGAGAGAAAGAGCUGGCCGUCAAACAGAUUGAAAUCAACGAAGCGACUUAUAUUUUCUCCUUCGCUCGGUACCGCUAGAGCCAGAUCUGAAAUGAAAAUCUGUGGAGAAAGUCCACAGAAAAAGAGAGGGGAAAGAAAGAAGAAGAGAAAGAAAAAGAAAGAGUGAGUAACCAUAGAAUAAUUCGCGGUAGAAAACACCACGAGCAUUAGGAGUAGCAGUAGCAACAGCAGCAGCAGUAGCCUGUUACGUCCCCGCAUUCUUACCAUCCCCGUUUCCACUACGAUUAACUCUUUUCGAAGCUUAUCGUUGAGGAUGAAGAACCUGUUUGUUCAUGAGAAUUCACUAAUACACGUCGAAAACAUUUCAGAAAUAAUCGAAAUUCCAAAAGCCAAAACAAUUAACUGUAAUUAUGUCGAUCUGUGUCUGAUAUAUUUCGAACAUAAUUGAAUCUCUUAUUGUAAUCUAGAGAGUAAAAUGAAACCAAAUUAUACUCGAUGGAAUGAGAAAAAAGAAAAAAGAAAAAAGAAAGAAAAAUGUUUUUCUAUAAUUUCAAUUAUGAACCAUUAAGAAAUAUUCCAUCUUAGAAAUUUUUGAUCCAUCGGUAAAAAACAUCCGUCAUAGUAUGCUGAAAGAACUCAUUUAUAAAAUAAACUCUAAAUUAAUAAUGAAUCCGUACUGAUGAUUAAACGUGAAUUCAUAUUUCAAAGACUAUGAAGACUUUUUUCACGUUAAUUAUUCGAAGCAUAGAAAAAAAGAGAAAAAAAGAAUCAAAAGAAAAGAAAAGAUAGAUCAAGGAAGCAUGGUAAAGGAGGAAAAAUGUCCAAAUAAAAAUCGAACUAAUUCGAAACUUUUUUCCUGUUACGUUUCAAAUUUAAUUACUUAGUUCUCUUUUUAAAAUCUUUAUCCUCGUUUGUAUCUUAUGAUAGAAUUCAGCUGCAAAUCAUAUUUUGAAAGGACCAGAAAUUGCGAAGGAUCUUAGAUCGAGAAAUUACACGUAACGCAGUGGCUAAUCGAGCAAAGUAAGAUGUAUGUCUAAUCCACGUUUGACAAUCACAAGGCUACUGCCGCUUGGCGUAAAGCGUGAACGGGAACGAGAACGAGUACGAGAGCGAAUGUGAGUGCGAGUGCGAGAACGAGAGAGAGAGAGAGAGGGAGAGAGAGAGAGAGAGAGACGAAUGUACGAUAUUGCGCUAAACCGAGCAAUUACUGGCCGUAAUCCCGGUAAUAGAAUUCCAAUAUGCGUGCCAAUUGGACCGAGUCUCUGUGCGGGCGUGCAGGCGUGAAUCUGCAGGUCGUGCGCGAACGGCGAAAGCCGUGACACGGUUUAGCCAUUAGCCACGAGACUGGUUACCCGUGGACCGUGGGCCGUGGGCCGUGGGCCGUGGAUCGUGAAUCGUGGAUCGUGGAUCGUGCCCGUGGCACGUAGCUGUUUGCACACGGACAAACUAUCCUUGUCUAUGUGUAUACGAAUCUCUAUAUUUCACUGUGAUUCGUACAUGAAUACUCAUUCAAUUCAAUUCGCUACCUUACAAGAGACUACGUAAGACAUAUGAGAUAAACAAGACCAGUAACAAAAUCCAUUACAACUCUUUACUAGCACCAUAUAUGUAUGUACUUACUACGUAUGUUCGCAAGUGAUUCUGAAACUUCGUCAACACAAAGUUUCUCUCCUUUACUACGAGUAAAUUAAUGACAACCUUCA